CUACGUGCCAGCAGCCGCGGUAAUACGUAGGUGGCAAGCGUUGUCCGGAAUUAUUGGGCGUAAAGCGCGCGCAGGCGGAUUGGUCAGUCUGUCUUAAAAGUUCGGGGCUUAACCCCGUGAUGGGAUGGAAACUGCCAAUCUAGAGUAUCGGAGAGGAAAGUGGAAUUCCUAGUGUAGCGGUGAAAUGCGUAGAUAUUAGGAAGAACACCAGUGGCGAAGGCGACUUUCUGGACGAAAACUGACGCUGAGGCGCGAAAGCCAGGGGAGCGAACGGGAUUAGAUACCCCGGUAGUCCUGGCCGUAAACGAUGGGUACUAGGUGUAGGAGGUAUCGGCCCCUUCUGUGCCGGAGUUAACGCAAUAAGUACCCCGCCUGGGGAGUACGACCGCAAGGUUGAAACUCAAAGGAAUUGACGGGGGCCCGCACAAGCGGUGGAGUAUGUGGUUUAAUUCGACGCAACGCGAAGAACCUUACCAGGUCUUGACAUUGAUGGACAGAACUAGAGAUAG
rnacentral:rRNA from 1 species